rnacentral:lncRNA from 1 species
AUAUUUAUAUAGGACUAAAAAAUUUAAAUAAUAUUUUUUGACUAAUCUUUUUAGAUGAAUUUUUGAAUUAUUACAUAAUGUAUCCCACUCCUGAUAAAUUUUUGAUGUCUAAUUAGCACCAACAAACCACAGUCACCUUUGCUCCGGCAUAUAUUGCCGGUUUGCCUAGGGAGGCUGAAUUAGGAGGAGAACGGAGCAUCUUUAAUGGCCA